AAAAGGUGAAAAUAUGAAAUGCGUGAUCGAAAUAUCGGAAAAAAAAAAAAAAAAAAAAAGCAAAAAGAAGAAUGUGAGUGAGAAGUUGGCUUUGUUUUAUCAAAUCUUUUCACCUCUUUUUUUCUUUUUUUUGCCCUUUCCUUGUUCACAAGAGCCUCUCCUCUUCUCUUUAUUUUUAAUCUUUCAAAUUUGUUUUGCCUUUUCUUCUUUUUUUUUCUCAUUUCCUUUUUUCCCAUAUUAUCAUUACCCAAA
rnacentral:lncRNA from 1 species